UACGAGGGGGGCUAGUGUUGUUCGGAAUCACUGGGCGUAAAGGGAGCGUAGGCGGGCUUUCAAGUUAGGUGUUUAAUCCCGGGGCCCAACCCCGGACAGGCACUUAAAACUGGGAGUCUUGAAUAGUGGAGAGGUCAGUGGAAUUGGGGGUGUAGCGGUGGAAUGCGUAGAGAUCCCCAAGAACACCAGUUGCGAAGGCGGCUGACUGGACACAUAUUGACGCUGAGGCUCGAAAGCAUGGGGAGCAAACAGG
rnacentral:rRNA from 1 species